AGAAUCUCACACUCAGCCUGCCUCCCACACGUUCCUCUUCCCGCCCAGUCCUAUCAGCUAACUUUUGCCUCUCAGGAUUCAGAUUCAUCUUCUACAGGUUUUUCAACAAGGAAAUGCAUGACCUUUCCAGCCUCUUCAGUCUUCUUCUCGACCUAUGAACAAGUUUUGCAUUUUCUGUCUGAAAGGAGGAUGAAGAGUUUGGCAGAGAAGAAUGUGAAGCGGUGCAAAGCAGGGCUUCUGACAACUGACUUAGCAGUUCUCUUCACUUGCUUGCUAAGGACACGAGUACCUCAACGCCCAAAUCCAGAAAGAGAAGCAGGAAGCGAUGGCGGCCUGCGAAGGACACACCCCUGGACGCCGAGUCCUGGGUUCUUGGGUUCUCAGCCUUCCCACUGCACAGCAGGGAUCUCAGAAUCGUCCCCCUGUGAAUUCUCUCACCCAUAUUCUCAUCCUUCCCACUGUUUUCCCUGCUUCUCCCACUCACCCUAUUCUGGGAAAAUUCCAGAGAUAAACGUGGGAAACCACAGGCUGCCCUUCCUUCGGUGCUUCUGCAUUUCCCAGCGCCCAGGAUCUGCCCGCUGGAUUACAGCAGCUCCUGAAGACCGUUUCUGA
rnacentral:lncRNA from 1 species